rnacentral:rRNA from 1 species
GACAGAGGGGGCAAGCGUUGCUCGGAAUUACUGGGCGUAAAGGGCGCGUAGGCGGGAUGGCAAGUCGGUCGUGAAAUGCCUCGGCUCAACUGAGGAUCGUCGAUCGAUACUGCCGUUCUUGAGGAUUGCAGAGGAGACUGGAAUUCCCGGUGUAGCGGUGAAAUGUGUAGAGAUCGGGAGGAAUACCGGUGGCGAAGGCGGCAUCCUGGACCGGCAUUGACGCUGAGGAGCGAAAGCAUGGGGAGCGAACAGGA